GGUGUAGCUCAAUGGUAGAGCAUAAAUUUAGCAUGUAUGAGUCCCUGGGUUUAAUCCCCAGCACC
rfam:Heterocephalus glaber contig76394, whole genome shotgun sequence.